rnacentral:rRNA from 1 species
UACGGAGGGUGCAAGCGUUAUCCGGAUUCACUGGGUUUAAAGGGUGCGUAGGCGGACAUGUAAGUCCGUGGUGAAAUCUCCGAGCUUAACUCGGAAACUGCCAUGGAUACUAUAUGUCUUGAAUGUUGUGGAGGUUAGCGGAAUAUGUCAUGUAGCGGUGAAAUGCAUAGAUAUGACAUAGAACACCAAUUGCGAAGGCAGCUGGCUACACAAAUAUUGACGCUGAGGCACGAAAGCGUGGGGAUCAAACAGG